rnacentral:lncRNA from 1 species
GAUUUAUUAGAUUUCAAGAAGGCCAACACUGUUUAAACAAAGAGCAAGCCUCAGAAACAAUCCAACAAAGAAGCCCAAUCAUUUUCUAUAGUAGGACUCAAAGCCAACUAAGACAAUCCCCAACUAACAGAAGUUGGAAGAAACACUGGAGACUCUACUGCCAACCUCUGUUUUCUAAUCGGAGGAAGAUGAUCGACCAUUGCCCAGAAGUAAGAACACUCAAAAUAACCAUCCUUCCAGCAACCAUUAGGACAUGAGAAGAUUAAAUCAAACAAUCUCAGUGAAAGCACAGAGAGAGUUGACUGACAAAGCUCCCAUGGUGUUUCGCCUUCAAGGGUCACCCACAAGCAGCUUGAGGUACCAAUUCUCAUGGGGACAUGCAAAUGACAUGAAGAAGCCGAACAAGACCGCAACCUAACCAGAUUCUUCAUCGAUCCAUACUCAACCUGAAGAAAAUGGAAAGAAACUACAUACACAAACGAGUAGAGGUAGAACAAGGCGGUAACAACGCCCUCUCCUCUCCAAUUGUGCUAGCUCCCAAAAGAGGAACGGUCAAUACAACUCAACCGACGGUGGAAGGCAUUAUCCGACGUCGUCUAGCGGAAGACCCUCCCCUGCCCAUUGAGGAGGCCACAAGACGGAAGUGACUUCUCGCUGGAAGUUUCUAUACAUGGAGAUGAAUGGUAUAUCUUAUUGAGUUAUUGUUUGUAUUAACAUAAUUCAAAAUCUAGAAUUGAGACUUUUUUUUCGGAAAAAGAAAAAAGAAC